rnacentral:rRNA from 1 species
GAAUUUUGGACAAUGGGGGCAACCCUGAUCCAGCAAUGCCGCGUGUGUGAAGAAGGCCUUCGGGUUGUAAAGCACUUUAAGUUGGGAGGAAAAGCUUAUGGUUAAUAACCGUAAGUGUUGACGUUACCAACAGCAUAAGCCCCGGCUAACUCCGUCCCAGCCGCCGCGGUAAUACGGAGGGUGCAAGCGUUAAUCGGAAUUACUGGGCGUAAAGCGCGCGUAGGAGGUUUGUUAAGUCAGAUGUGAAAUCCCCGGGCUCAACCUGGGAAUGGCAUUUGAGACUGGCAGGCUAGAGUGUGGUAGAGGUGAGUGGAAUUUCAGGUGUAGCGGUGAAAUGCGUAGAGAUCUGAAGGAACAUCAGUGGCGAAGGCGACUCACUGGGCCAUUACUGACGCUGAGGUGCGAAAGCGUGGGUAGCAAACAGG